AUUGAACGCUGGCGGCAUGCCUAACACAUGCAAGUCGAACGGCAGCGCGGGGGCAACCCUGGCGGCGAGUGGCGGACGGGUGAGGAAUGCAUCGGAAUCUGCCUGGUUGUGGGGGAUAACGUAGGGAAACUUACGCUAAUACCGCAUACGACCUGAGGGUGAAAGUGGGGGACCGCAAGGCCUCACGCGAUCAGAGGAGCCGAUGCCGGAUUAGCUAGUUGGCGGGGUAAAGGCCCACCAAGGCGACGAUCCGUAGCUGGUCUGAGAGGAUGAUCAGCCACACUGGAACUGAGACACGGUCCAGACUCCUACGGGAGGCAGCAGUGGGGAAUAUUGGACAAUGGGCGCAAGCCUGAUCCAGCAAUGCCGCGUGUGUGAAGAAGGCC
rnacentral:rRNA from 1 species